rnacentral:rRNA from 1 species
AAGGAGCUUGCUCCUUCGACGUUAGCGGCGGACGGGUGAGUAACACGUGGGCAACCUACCUUAUAGUUUGGGAUAACUCCGGGAAACCGGGGCUAAUACCGAAUAAUCUGUUUCACCUCAUGGUGAAACACUGAAAGACGGUUUCGGCUGUCGCUAUAGGAUGGGCCCGCGGCGCAUUAGCUAGUUGGUGAGGUAACGGCUCACCAAGGCGACGAUGCGUAGCCGACCUGAGAGGGUGAUCGGCCACACUGGGACUGAGACACGGCCCAGACUCCUACGGGAGGCAGCAGUAGGGAAUCUUCCACAAUGGGCGAAAGCCUGAUGGAGCAACGCCGCGUGAGUGAAGAAGGAUUUCGGUUCGUAAAACUCUGUUGUAAGGGAAGAACAAGUACAGUAGUAACUGGCUGUACCUUGACGGUACCUUAUUAGAAAGCCACGGCUAACUACGUGCCAGCAGCCGCGGUAAUACGUAGGUGGCAAGCGUUGUCCGGAAUUAUUGGGCGUAAAGCGCGCGCAGGUGGUUUCUUAAGUCUGAUGUGAAAGCCCACGGCUCAACCGUGGAGGGUCAUUGGAAACUGGGAGACUUGAGUGCAGAAGAGGAUAGUGGAAUUCCAAGUGUAGCGGUGAAAUGCGUAGAGAUUUGGAGGAACACCAGUGGCGAAGGCGACUAUCUGGUCUGUAACUGACACUGA